rnacentral:rRNA from 1 species
UACGGAGGGUGCGAGCGUUGUUCGGAAUCAUUGGGCGUAAAGGGCGUGUAGGUGGUCUGUUAAGUCAUGUGUGAAAGCCCUCGGCUCAACCGGGGAAGUGCGCAUGAAACUGACAAGCUAGAGUACCAAAGAGGAGGGUGGAAUUCCCGGUGUAGUGGUGAAAUGCGUAGAUAUCGGGAGGAACACCAGUGGCGAAGGCGACUUCCUGGCCUGUUCUUGACGCUGAGGCGCGAAAGCUAGGGGAGCAAACGGG